GAUGAAGAACGCAGCCAAAUGCGAUACGUAAUGUGAAUUGCAGAAUUCAGUGAAUCAUCGAGUCCUUGAACGCACAUUGCGCCCCCUGGUAUUCCGGGGGGCAUGCCUGUCCGAGCGUCAUUGCUGCCCUCAAGCACGGCUUGUGUGUUGGGCCCCGUCCUCCGAUUCCGGGGGACGGGCCCGAAAGGCAGCGGCGGCACCGCGUCCGGUCCUCGAGCGUAUGGGGCUUUGUCACCCGCUCUGUAGGCCCGGCCGGCGCUUGCCGAUCAACCCAAAUUUUUAUCCAGGUUGACCUCGGAUCAGGUAGGGAUACCCGCUGAACUUAAGCAUAUCAAUAAGCGGAGGA
rnacentral:misc_RNA from 1 species